AUUGGACGGGCGGGGCCGGGGGUGGGAUUUGUCCGGCCGCUUUGCUCCGGUUGCUACUGCUGCUGGAAAGGCAGUUCCAGGCGCGGCCACCUCUGCGGGCCCGGCUGGAGAGCCCCGGCGUUGGCGUAUCUGGGAACCGACGUCCGCGCGCCGCUGGCUGGAAUGCGCCCGGCUCGCCUCCGCGGCGCUGUGAGUCCCCGAGAGGCGGCUGGCGGUCUCUGGACGUUCUUCCUCGCACCCAGGCCCUUCGCUGUCCUUGUCGAGAUUGGUUUCUCUUGCCUACCCGCCCUCGCCCACCCUGAUCCGGGCUGGGAGUGGUCCCUCAGCAAAGCCAGACGGAUAUUUAGCAGUGAUACCGGCAGGCGCCUGGUCCCCGGCUCAGAAUCUGUCAGCCUCAAACAUUCAUUGACAACCUACGAUGGCCUGGCACAGAGCUGAGAACCUCCAGGGGUGUCAGAGACGAACCAGAACAUCUUCCAGGGAGACCUUCACCUUGACCCCAUAUUCGAGCUUUCACCUUGACCCCACGUUCAGAGAGCUCUCAAAUGCCUUACGGUGACUUCCAGUCUGGGCUUGCAGUGUGAUUAUAGAAACCCGACGCACAGGUUUGUUGGAAAACAGUAGAGCUGAGGCCCAGAAGUGACUCACUACGAGAUAGUUGUGCUGCCUUGUUGAUUACACUUGUAUUCCCAGCACCCGUGACGGUCACUCACACGCGGUAGUGCAUCUUCAGCCACCGUGUGUCCAGCUGAAUUCAGUUGGCCACAUGCUCCGUACGGCCCUAAAUCAGGGAACACAGGAGAGACCCAGCCGGGCCCUGAGUAACACAGGUUGCAGCCUUCUCCCUGCCCGUGCCCCUCAUCCGAGCACUCCACCCCCCAGCCCUCGCUGCGGACCUCACCCGUGAGUGGAAGGGCAGUGACGCCAGCUGCCCCUGAUCUGAAAUGCGCUUGCAAGUUUUGACACCCUUAGACGUCUGAACAAUGCACAGCUGUCCUUGCUGCCAGUGUGCCGGGCAGUAGAGCCCCUACCCCAAUGCACAUCAGCCUCUGACUCACCUUUAGUCAUCUCUGACCCUCAUUUCUUUGCCAAGAGCUCCUACGACACUGCUCUGCUGGGAGUGGAGGUCAGUGAUAUGCCUCAGAUUGAAGCUUCUCUGGUCCAUCAAACAAAUCGCAGGGCUCCUUUGUGGGUUCCCUUCGGCUCCAUUCACUGCGGUGCAUGGACGUUUCUGUGCCUGGGAAAUGGACCCCCAAGAGCUAGUGGAGUUAUCAGCCCCUGGGGAACCCCCAUCACAGAGGAGCCUGGCUGGCCUUCCCCGGGGCUCAGAGUGGGACUCCAACACAGAGAUGGGGACCGGUGGAGAGUGGGCAUCCUGGAAUUCUUCCUGGAGGAGGAAAAUGGGGAGAGCUAGGCUGAGAAAAGGGGUGACAGGUUUCACGGGGAGUCUCAUUGUGCCAAGCUCUUUAUGUAGAUUGCGACCUUUAUUUUUCAGGAGGAGCCUGUGAGGUCAGUCCUGUGAUCUGCUUUUCCAGAAGGAAGCAAAGGCCCGGACUGACAAAGCGACAUGCCCAAGGUCACACCAUUCCAGAGGGGAGCAGGAUUCUAGUCCUGAUCUGCUGGGCUCUGAGGGGAGGGCCAGGCCGAGGAUGGUGGGAGAAUUCCAGACUCUGGCCAGCUGCCCCUGCAUCCAGGGAGGCUGUGGGUGGGGUGGAAACAGCCACCAGAAGCCAGGGGCACGCGGCAAACAAGGGUGCCAGGAAAUGAACCGGACCCAGGGUCCUUCCUCCCGGCCCGCCCUGUGCCCCUGGCCAACUGCCGCCUCCCUUUGAGGCUUCUCCCGGCAAGAGAACAGAGAAAGCUGGGCCGGAGCCCAGGGAUGGCCUUACACGGGGGGGGGGGGGGGGGGUGGACCAGGAGGGUCUUGAAGCCCAGGAGGAGCCCUGACAGGCCUAAGCACCCCCGUUCCUGGGAGGAGAGAUAGAGAUCCCAGGGGUCUCAUCCUGUUUGUCUCAGAUGGAGCUCAGACUGGGGCCUCGCACAGAGAAGGCGCUCAAUAAAUGUGUGUCGAAACGAGGUACAGCAGGUGUGCCGUCCAAACUGUGAGGCUGGAGGUGAAGAGGCCGGGUCCGGACACGGUUUCUGCCCCCGCCUUGUGACCCUGGACGAGUCUCAGAACGUCCCUAUCCGUCAGAUCAAGCUGUUAUCCUGGAAUGUGCACCAUCGCUUGGGUCCCUUCCAGCUCUGACAAUGCAGUUCCAUUCAUUCUUUUACUCACUCGCUAAUUUGUUGUCUCAGCGAAAUACAUCGUAGAGCCCGAGAAAUAUACUUUGGUACUAAUGAGGCAGUGGGCAGAGUGGCGGCAAUCAGCAAAGCUUGUGGGGGGAUAGUGACGGGUCCCCCUCUUGAGCAGGGACUCUGGGGUCAGAUGGCCUGGGUUCAGAUUCUCCCUCCAUGACCUGCUCACUGAGUAACCCUGGGCAAGUUACUUACUCACGUUGAACUUGGACUUCCUCAUCUGUAAGAUGGAGAUGAUAGGAGGAUAUACUUCAUAGGGUUAUUGUAAAAAUUAAAUGGGAUAAUACAAAUAAGUUGCUUAGGGAAAUAGUACACAGCAGGCACCCAACAAGUCUUAGCUCUUCCCGUUCCUUAGAAGGCGAGCGAACUCCAGCAGACAAAGGGGGCUGCUGUGUGGGUGCAGGGGUAGGGGUGGGGGGAAGCAUCAGAACAGCAUGUGCUUAGAUACAGAGGCGGGAAAAUCCAGUACUGCCGAGGAGCACCAAGAGACCCGUCCAGACUAAGUGGGAAGAGGUAAGUUGGGCGCAGAUGGUGAGCGCCUUUGGUCAGGCUAAGAAACUUGAAUCUGAUCCUGUAGGUUGGCAUUUCCCAACUGCUGCUCCCCAGAAUUCCAUGAGCCGUUACUGGAUGUUUUAUAAAUAUUUCAGGGCACCCGGGUGGCUUAAUUAAGCGUCCGACUCCUGCUCAGGUCAUGAUCUCGUGGUACGCGAGUUCGAG